GUCUGCCUUCAUGCCACUGCGUCCCACCAUGAUGAUAGUGGACUAAACCUCUAAACUGUUUCAGGAAGUUGUCUGCAGUUUCUGCUUCAAUCUGGCUUCUACCUCUGGGUUGAUCGUGACUUUGAAAGUGAACCGGAAAUGGGAAGAAACGAUCCAGGACUUUCAGUGUACCAGUUCCCACAGCUUAUCUCUGGUCAUGAGCAUCUCAGUAGUCCCCAGGAGAAACAGGGGUCGGUUGAGAAGGGCAAGAGCUGGGCAUCGUUACAAGAGUGGCUGGUUUUCCUUUACAAUUCACUUUUGGGUUGGCGACAUCCUAGCGGAUAAAAAGCCCUUGCCACUGAGCCUAGAAACCCGAGUUCCAUCCCGGGGAUUCAUGUGGUAGGAGUGAACUGACCCUUGUAUGGGUUGCUCUUUGAACUCCAUACAUGCACCGUACAUGCACUAUAGCACAGGCUCAUACACAUAGAUAAUAAAGUAUAAUUUUAAGAA